GAUGAACGCUGGCGGCGUGCCUAAUACAUGCAAGUCGAGCGAACAGACGAGGAGCUUGCUCCUCUGACGUUAGCGGCGGACGGGUGAGUAACACGUGGAUAACCUACCUAUAAGACUGGGAUAACUUCGGGAAACCGGAGCUAAUACCGGAUAAUAUAUUGAACCGCAUGGUUCAAUAGUGAAAGACGGUUUUGCUGUCACUUAUAGAUGGAUCCGCGCCGCAUUAGCUAGUUGGUAAGGUAACGGCUUACCAAGGCAACGAUGCGUAGCCGACCUGAGAGGGUGGUCGGCCACACUGGAACUGAGACACGGUCCAGACUCCUACGGGAGGCAGCAGUAGGGAAUCGUCCGCAAUGGGCGGAAGCCUGACGGAGCAACGCCGCGUGAGUGAUGAAGGUCGUCGGAUCGUAAAACUCUGUUAUUAGGGAAGAACAAAUGUGUAAGUAACUAGGCACGUCUUGACGGUACCUAAGCAGAAAGCCACGGCUAACUACGUGC
rnacentral:rRNA from 1 species